rnacentral:misc_RNA from 1 species
AAGUCGUAACAAGGUCUCCGUUGGUGAACCAGCGGAGGGAUCAUUACAGAGUUAUCUAACUCCCAAACCCAUGUGAACUUACCAUUGUGCCUCGCAGAGCCUACCGGUACCCUACUGCCUCGGAGCACGCUGACCCUCGUAGCUACCCUGGAGCGGUUCUCCUGUAGCGUUUUGCCGGUGGACUUCUAAACUAUUGUUAUUUUAUUGUUAUCUGAGCGUCUUAUUUUAAUAAGUCAAAA